CCUACGGGAGGCAGCAGUGAGGAAUAUUGGUCAAUGGUCGGGAGACUGAACCAGCCAAGCCGCGUGAGGGAGGAAGGUACAGAGUAUCGUAAACCUCUUUUGUCAGGGAACAAAGGCGGGGACGUGUCCCCGGAUGAGUGUACCUGAAGAAAAAGCAUCGGCUAACUCCGUGCCAGCAGCCGCGGUAGUACGGAGGAUGCGAGCGUUAUCCGGAUUUAUUGGGUUAAAAGGGUGCGCCGGCGGUCUGUUAAGUCAGCGGUCAAAGCCCGGGGCUCAACCCCGGCCCGCCGUUGAAACUGGCAGGCUCGAGUGGGAGAGAAGUAGGCGGAAUGCGCGGUGUAGCGGUGAAAUGCAUAGAUAUCGAGCAGAACUCCGAUUGCGAAGGCAGCAUGCCGGCUCCACACUGACGCUGAGGCACGAAAGCGUGGGUAUCGAACAGGAUUAGAUACCCGGGUAGUC
rnacentral:rRNA from 1 species